AUAGUGCGCCUUUUUGCAUGUUAUAUAUACAAGACACGUUUUCUUUCCACAACCCCUCAAUUUUUACUCUAUAUCUUUCUCUCAAAUUUUCAAACCUAAAAUUAACAAAGCUACUACUUAUCAUACUCAUGAUGAAACAAUUAAGCAUAUCAUGUUUUCUUGUAUUUCUCAACAUGUUCCUCUUUGUCUUCCUUUCACCAGCAUCGUCUUCACGUUAUUUCUUAUCAACCAUAAGUGAAGUGAAAGAGGAUAUAAAGCAAGAGAAAGUCAACCUUUCGUUACAUACAGUUGACCACAUGGAAACCAACGAUAGCCUAAAUAAACUUAUGGGGUUGGAGGAAUGUGUUGAAGAAGAUGGAGAAUGCAUGAAGAGAAGGGUAGUAGCAGAAGCUCAUCUUGAUUACAUCUACACUCAGAGCCAUAAUCAUCCUUGAUAUUAAUUAAUAUAAUCAAUCCUCUAAGCUAGCUGGUGUUGUUAAUAAAUUAAAAGGACUAGCUAGAUAUAUAAGCUUUAAUGACCUUUUAUUUUCAACAUUAAAUAAUUUUCCUACCUAAGUUUUUCUUUUUGGUGCCAUUUCUUUUUCCGCCUUCUGUGUUUAACAUACAAAUGUAAUUUUUAUUUAUUUCAUUUCAAAAAUCUCAGUUUGUAACUUUUACUUGUUUACGUUGGACUUAGAAUACUCUAUUACGAAA